UGCUGAUUAGUAUGAUGAUGAUGAUGAUGAUGAUGAUGAUGAUGAUGAUGAUCAUCAUCAUCAUCAUCAUCAUCAUCAUCAUCAUCAUCAUCAUCA
rnacentral:pre_miRNA from 1 species